AUUGCAUCUUGGCCUUUUGGCUAAGAUCGAGUGUAGUAUCUGUUUUUACCAGUUUAAUAAAAUCAGUUACAGUUUUCAUUCUAUUUGAUGUCCAAGUAAUCCCUUAUUUACCCUUU
rfam:Myotis lucifugus cont2.5301, whole genome shotgun sequence.